rnacentral:rRNA from 1 species
UAAGGCCUACGGGGGGCAGCAGUGGGGGAUAUUGCACAAUAGGGGAAACCCUGAUGCAGCGACGCCGCGUGAGUGAAGAAGUAUUUCGGUACGUAAAGCUCUAUCAGCAGGGAAGAAUAAUGACGGUACCUGACUAAGAAGCCCCGGCUAACUACGUGCCAGCAGCCGCGGUAAUACGUAGGGGGCAAGCGUUAUCCGGAAUCACUGGGUGUAAAGGGAGCGUAGACGGCUGAGCAAGCCUGAAGUGAAAGGCGGGGGCCCAACCCCCGGACCGCUUUGGGAACUGUACGGCUGGAGUGCAGGAG